UACGUAGGCAGCAAGCGUUGUUCGGAAUUACUGGGCGUAAAGAGUGUGUAGGCGGUGCUCCAAGUCUGGUGUGAAAUCUCCCGGCUCAACUGGGAGGGUGCGCUAGAAACUGGAAUGCUAGAGGAUGGGAGAGGUAAGCGGAAUUCCUGGUGUAGCGGUGAAAUGCGUAGAUAUCAGGAGGAACACCGGUGGCGAAGGCGGCUAUCUGGACAGAGUCUGACGCUGAGGCGCGAAAGCUAGGGGAGCAAACAGG
rnacentral:rRNA from 1 species